CCCGCCGGCGAUCGGCGCACGGGUGAGUAACACGUAUGGAACCUGCCCGCAGCAGGGGGAUAAGCGGAAGAAAUCCCGUCUAAUACCGCGUAACACCGCGGAGGGGCAUCCCUCGGCGGUUAAAGAUUCAUCGGCUGCGGAUGGCCAUGCGGCGCAUUAGCUAGUCGGCGGGGUAACGGCCCACCGAGGCGACGAUGCGUAGGGGUUCUGAGAGGAAGGUCCCCCACACUGGUACUGAGACACGGACCAGACUCCUACGGGAGGCAGCAG
rnacentral:rRNA from 1 species